GAACCCACAAUCCCUGACUUAGGAGGGGACUCAAACCCACUGUCUUUAAACUGAAACCUCUCACCUGAUGUCAGGACUUACUGAAGCUCAGGUCUUUUUAUCUCAGUGGAGAAAGAAUUCCGCCAGAGGCAAAGUGGCAGGCAAAGAGUGAGUUUAUUAGCAUAGGAUGCUUUUGAGAAAUGCAAACGAGUAGGUGAGAAGGCUCUGCCCUGAGGACUGAGAGGGCUUUAUUUUUAUAAACAAAGGAAAAGUGGGGAGGGGAAGAAGACCACCUUCUUUCUUAUUUAUGGGCAAAUAUCAAGGCUUACAUUGUUAGUUCCUCCUUUGUCCUAUACGGUUAAACCGGGACUGUCAGGGCACUAUUUAAAUCAUAUGUGUAUUAGUAAAAGGGUGGUAACAUAUACUAAAAUAUGAUAAUUCAUCUCAGGUUUCAGUAUAAUGUCCCCUUUCACCUAUAUUUCUGUCUUGACUACAUGUAGAAAUGCUACUCUUCAAGGACUAUUAACUCCCUGACUUCAUGUAACAAGAUUCAGACCCCAUAUCUAUGGUCUUCUUUUGUUUGUUUGUUUUGUUUUUCCGGUACCAUUGCGGAGCACAGGCUCCGGACGCUCAGGCUCAGCUGCCAUGGCUCACGGGCCCAGCCGCUCCGCGGCGUGUGGGAUCUUCCCGGACCGGGGCACGAACCUGUGUCCCCUGCAUCGGCAGGCGCACUCUCAACCACUGCGCCACCAGGGAAGCCCAUAUCUACGGUCUUGUGGUCCCCCCAGUCAUCUACCACCGCCCACCCCCGUGGCAUGCGGGAUCUUAGUUCCCUGACCAGGUAUUGAACCUGUGGCCCCUGCAGUGGAAGCAUGGAGCCCUAACCACUGGACUGCCAGGGAAUUCCCUAUUGUCUUGUGUUUUAACUAUCAGGGUUUGUGGCUUGAGUGUGUCUGUUGCUUGUAUGCACCUGGUCUUCUUUCAAGGUAGUGUAGAUUGUUGCUAGGUUACUGGGUGUUUUUUCUUGAGUGGUCAUUAGCUUACAACAGUCUCCCAAACUCCCUAAAAUUCUCUUUCUGUCUUUAAUUAGUGGGAUUUCUUUUCUUUUUUUAUUUUCUUAAUUUAUUUUUUGGCUGCAUUGCAUCUUCUUUGCUGUGUGCAGGCUUUCUCUAGUUGUGAGGGGGGGCUACUCUUCACUGUGGUGCGCGGGCUUCUCAUUGCGGUGGCUUCUCUUGUUGUGGAGCACGGGUUCUAGGCACACGGGCUUCAGUAGUUGUGGCACGCAGGCUCAGUAGUUGUGGCGCACGGGCUUAGAUCUUCCCGGACCAGGGAUCGAACCCGUGUCCCCUGAAUUGGCAGGCAGAUUCUUAACCACUGAGCCAUCAGGGAAGUCCCCUAGUGGGAUUUCUAAACUGACUAAUUAUCCUACUCUAUCCCUAUCAAGAGUGCCACCAGCAGACCAGAAAUGUGGAGGAAUUUCUGAAAAAUGGUAAGCAAAUGAGGUUAGAUUGCUAGAGGAAACCGCAGCUAAACAAAGUAAGAAAGGGAUUACUGCAAUAAAGGGAGUGGUCUGGGGGGCAAGCUCAGCUCAGAGGCAGCAGUUACAAGGAGCAGGAGGAAGGGUCUGAGACCAGCAUCCAGAUGACUGGUAGGGACUCUAAUUAGCAGCAAGUGGGCAGGUCCAGGUAGUGGGCAUCAGAGAUAGUUGCCCUCAGGCUGAGUCAGUAAUUGUUAAUUCUUGGACGGGAGACUAAGAGAAGUUCCUGGAGUAAUGGGGGAGCCACCAAGUCCAGAUGAUAUCAUCUCAGUAACACCUCCAGCCCCUACAUCAUGAUUCCUGGAGAUGGUAAAUGGAAACUGAAUCCACAGACAGGCCAAUAGGGAAUCUUAAAUAAGAAGAUGAACCUACCAUGUGGAAUUAUAUGGUAUUUGUCUUUUUGUGACUGGCUUAUUUCACUUAGCAUAAUGCCCUCAAGGUUCAUCCAUGCUGUAACAUAAUGUGGAAUUUCCUUAUUAAGGCUGAAUAAUAUUCCAUUGUAUGUAUGUACCACAUUUUAUGUAUCCAUUCUUUGCUUAAUGGACUCUUGGGUUGUUUCCUCGUUUUAGCUGUUGUGAAUACUGCUGCUAUGAACAUGGUGUACAGAUAUCUCUUUGAGAUCUUGCUUUCAUUUUGGGGGGUUAUACCCUAGAAAUGGAAUGCUAGAUUGUAUGGUAAUUCUUUUAAAUUUUUAAAAAAAUUACACUAUUUUCCACAGUGGCUGUACCUUUUUAUAUACCAACCAAUAGUGCACAAAGGUUCUAAUUUUCUACAUCCUCACCAACACUUCUUUUUUUUUGAAAGUAGCCAUCCUAAUGUGUGUGAGGUGGUAUCUCAUUGUAGUUUGGAUUUGCAUUUCCCUAAUGAUUAGUAAUAUUGAGCAUCUUUUUAUGUGCUUAUUGGCCAUUUGUGUAUCUUCUUUGGAGAAAUGUCUAUUCAAGUACUUUGUCCCUUUUUGGAUCAGGUUGUGGGUUUGUUGUUGAGUUUUAGAAGUUCUCUGUAUAUUCUGGAUAUUAAUCCCUUAUCAUAUAUAUAUAAUUUGCAAAUAUUUUAUCACAUUCUGUGGGUUUCCUUUUUAUACGGAUAGUGUCUUUUGAUGCACAAAAGUUAAAACUUUUUACGAAGCCUAAUUUGUCUAUUUUUCUUUUGUUACCUGUGCCGUUGGGGUCAUAUGUAAGAAAUCAUUGCCAAAUUCAGUGUCCUGAAGAUUUUGUCCUAUGUUUUCUCCUAAAAUUUUUAUUGUUUUAGGUCUUACAUUUAGGCCCUUGAUCCAUUUUGAGUUAAUUUUUAUAUAUGGUGUUAAGUAAGGGUCCAACUUCAUUCUUUUGCAUGUGGAUAUCCAGUUUUCCCAGUACCAUUUGUUGAAAAGGCCAUCCUUUCCCCAUUGAACGGUCUUGGCACUCUUGUCAAAAAUCAUUUGACC
ensembl:lncRNA